AUGCAACAGGAAAUAGAGGAGCAAACUAGCUUUGAUGUGGAAGAACAACAAAGUGAAGAACAAUUAGAACCAGUUUCAGAAGGAGAUCAGGCCAUGUUCAUAUCUGCUUUUGCAAUGGGACAACAGCUAGCAGUUCCCACCCCAACAGUAAUAAUAUACAUCAAUGGAAAAAGGGCAGUGGCCUUACUGGAUUCUGGCAGUACUACUUCCUUCAUUAACCAGGAUUUUGCAGUAAAAGCUAAUUGCAACAUGCUCCCUGUAAAACCAAGAAGUAUAUCUGUGGCUGGAGGAGGAGUACUAGUAUCUGUUGCAGUGAUUCCCAAGUGUGAAUUUCAAAUUGCAAAACUGACUCUAUCCCACAACUUCAGAGUACUUGCUCUACCAAGUCAUGAUGUGAUCUUAGGAUAUGACUGGUUUUCUGCUGUUAGUCCUGUAUCAUUUGAUAUACCAGCACAGCAAUUUGGGUUUACUCAUGAAGGAAAGCAGACUGUAUCCACAACCAUGUUCUCAACUGCUGCUAGCUUGAAAGAAGUACCUCCAAAGAGAGUUGACAAACUUAUGGAAAAAGGGCCAGAAGUGUUCCUCUGCCAGGUCAACAACAUUCUCAUGGAUGCUCCUGAGGAUUUUAAAACCCCUCCACAAAUACAGAAAUUACUGUUGGAAUAUGCAGAUCUUUUUGAAGAACCCAAGACCCUACCUCCUUAG
rnacentral:rRNA from 1 species